UUACAUUUAUGAUUAAAACAUUACAAGAUGAAUGUACAUGCAUAAUAUCAAUGACAACCACAAUCCUAACCAUACUUGCAUUUGGAUUGCUGAAAAACUUAAGAGUAAUUUGAGAGCUGAUCUUACAAUGAGUUAUGAAUUGAUACAAAAUGAAUUAAAGGAAAAGUGGGGUGUUUGAGCCCCCUAUAUGACGGUUGUAUAGAGCCAAAUGUAAGGCAAAAGAAAAAAAUAUUGGUUUGUAUGAAGACUCUUACAAAUAAUUGCACAAGUAUGUAUACUUCUUGAAAAUGUUCAAUCACGGUAUUGAGGUGAAAAUUCAAAGUACUGAACUGUUAAUUGUAAUGAACCUAAGGUCUUCAAGAGAGUGUUUAUCAUGUUUGAUGCUGUUAGAGUAAGAUUCAUAAAUGAAUAUAAACCCUUUUUUGGGUUGGAUGGAUGUCAUCUUAAGGGACUUUCACUAUUUCUACAUACAAGAAGGUAUAUCAACGUGUAAUACAUUUCAUGUCAUAAAGAGAUUUGCAACCAAAUGGGAAUCACCCACCAAUGCAGCCUCCUCCUUUGAAAAGGCAACCAAGCAAACUAAAAAAGGCGAUGAGAGAAGAUGGUGAGGUAGGUUCAGCUCCAAAAAGGACAAGAAAUGCCACAGUAGUUUGCAAAAAGUGUUACAAGUUGGGACAUAACAAAAAAACCUGUCAGAUUACGGGUAAGAAUAUCUUUCUAAUUACUAUUUUCAUUUACAUAUAUGUCUAUUUACUAUUUCAAUUUAUUUGACUAUUUCUAUUAAUUUUGAUUGUACUCCAGCAGUAGUCACAGGGAAAGUUAUUUUGAUAUGGGACAGACUAGACAAGAGACAGUGAACAGUAAUUCUUUUCAACUAAUGGAUCUCCAUAGCCAAGCAUCAGCAAAUUAAGAUGCAUUUUAAAAAAUUAAAGACAUUUUAAAACUUAUAUUUUUUUGGGCAAAUUUAUUUUUGCAUGUUGUAAUAUUUUUUUAAACAAAUAUAUGCUUUUUUUU
rnacentral:lncRNA from 1 species